AACGUAGGACACAAGCGUUAUCCGGAAUUACUGGGCGUAAAGGGAGUGCAGGCGGUUGCGUAAGUUAGGCGUGAAAGACUUCGGCUUAACCGGGGAACUGCGUCUGAUACUGGAUGGCUUGAGUUUGGGAGAGGGACGCGGAAUUCCAGGUGUAGCGGUGAAAUUCGUAGAUAUCGGGUGGAACACCUGUGGCGAAGGCGGCCAUCUGGACGUUCACUGACGCUGAGAAGCGAAAGCGUGGGGAGCGAACAGG
rnacentral:rRNA from 1 species